rnacentral:rRNA from 1 species
UACGUAGGGUGCGAGCGUUGUCCGGAAUUAUUGGGCGUAAAGAGCUCGUAGGCGGUGUGUCGCGUCGGCCGUGAAAACCUGCAGCUUAACUGUGGGCGUGCGGUCGAUACGGGCAUCACUGGAGUUCGGCAGGGGAGACUGGAAUUCCUGGUGUAGCGGUGAAAUGCGCAGAUAUCAGGAGGAACACCGGUGGCGAAGGCGGGUCUCUGGGCAAUAACUGACGCUGAGGAGCGAAAGCCGUGGGGAGCGAACAGG